GCAAAGUAGGGAAUAACGCGUUAAGUGAGAAAAGGACGGGAAGUUGCCUUUUCUACGAAAGGCCCGGCGGGUCUGCGGUGUUGUUCCCGCAUUCCGUUG
rnacentral:ncRNA from 1 species